CGCGGCCUAUCAGCUUGUUGGUGAGGUAACGGCUCACCAAGGCAUUGACGGGUAGCUAGUCUGAGAGGACGAAUAGCCACACUGGGACUGAGACACGGCCCAGACUCCUACGGGAGGCAGCAGCAGGGAAUCUUGCACAAUGGACGAAAGUCUGAUGCAGCGACGCCGCGUGGGGGAUGAAGGCCCUAGGGUCGUAAACCCCUUUCAGUGGGGACGAAACUGACGGUACCCACAGAAGAAGGUCCGGCCAACUACGUGCCAGCAGCCGCGGUAAGACGUAGGGACCGAGCGUUGUCCGGAAUUAUUGGGCGUAAAGAGCUCGUAGGCGGUUGCGUAAGUCGGAUGUGAAAGCUCAGGGCUCAACCCUGAGACGCCAUCCGAUACUGCGCUGACUCGAAUCCAGUAGGGGAGUGUGGAAUUCCUGGUGUAGCGGUGAAAUGCGCAGAUAUCAGGAGGAACACCUAUGGCGAAGGCAGCACUCUGGGCUGGUAUUGACGCUGAGGAGCGAAAGCAUGGGUAGCAAACAGGAUUAGGUACCCUGGUAGUCCAUGCCGUAAACGGUGGGCACUAGGUGUGGGGACUUUCAACGGUUUCCGUGCCGAAGCUAACGCAUUAAGUGCCCCGCCUGGGGAGUACGG
rnacentral:rRNA from 1 species